rnacentral:rRNA from 1 species
CAGUAGCCACGGGAAUACGAAGGGGGCUAGCGUUGUUCGGAUUUACUGGGCGUAAAGCGCACGUAGGCGGAUCGAUCAGUCAGGGGUGAAAUCCCAGAGCUCAACUCUGGAACUGCCUUUGAUACUGUCGAUCUGGAGUAUGGAAGAGGUGAGUGGAAUUCCGAGUGUAGAGGUGAAAUUCGUAGAUAUUCGGAGGAACACCAGUGGCGAAGGCGGCUCACUGGUCCAUUACUGACGCUGAGGUGCGAAAGCGUGGGGAGCAAACAGGAUUAGAUACCCGUGUAGUCCCUGUCUCUUAUAC